UGCAACCUCGUACCCAGGGUAUUUUGCUUCCCACUCGGCGAAAAUGGUGAAAAUUCCCAUUUUCGCUGAGUGGGAAGCAAAAUGCCCUGGGUACGAGGUUGCCAAA
rnacentral:miRNA from 1 species